rnacentral:rRNA from 1 species
UACGUAGGUGACCAGCGUUGUCCGGAUUUACUGGGCGUAAAGAGCGCGCAGGCGGUCGUUCAAGUCGAGUGUGAAAGCCCCCGGCUCAACUGGGGAGGGUCAUUCGAUACUGAUCGACUUGAAGGCAGGAGAGGGAAGUGGAAUUCCCGGUGUAGUGGUGAAAUGCGUAGAUAUCGGGAGGAACACCAGUGGCGAAGGCGACUUCCUGGUCUGCAACUGACGCUGUGGCGCGAAAGCUAGGGGAGCAAACGGG